UUCACUUUGUUAUACAGCAGAAACUAACACACCAUUGUAAAGCAAUGAUACUCCAAUAAAGAUGUAAAAAAAAAAAUUUCUCUUUCUUAGACCUAGAGCAUCCAGCCACCACUACGUGUCAUGCAGAUGCCUCUUCUUUAUCUCCCAUUCUGGGGAAGAGUAAGUUGUCAUUAUCAUGCAGAACAGGAAGAGGAGCAGAUAGAAUUGGAGUGCGACCUUUCCCGAGAGACAAGGAGUAGAGUUUUCCAAAAAGUCAGUGGAAGUCUUCCUGGUUCAUGUAUGAAGAGGGCGGCUCUUUUGAAGGGAGGCCAAAUGUAAUGAUGGGGUGGAGUUGAGAAGCAGUGUUAGGACCUAGGAGAAGGGUUUGAGUUCUGAGAUGCUGCAAAAGACAUUGGGGGUUGUCCACCCCAUAGUUACCCUACCCUUAUGACUAAUAGAACCCCAGUUUCGUUCAGGCAACAAUAUGCACAACCACAGAGAGUGAACCACAAUUGGCCUUAGCCAAAUUGGCAACUCCUUUGCUUGUGAUGGGUCAGGACAUGGGCCUGGAUCCAGUUCUGUCCAGUGAGACAGAAGGUGUCUGCUGAAGCGUUCUGGGAAGGAUUUCCUCCAAGAUAAGAGAUUCAUGUGAUACAAAAGCUCCCUUUGCCAUUGUCCUUGUGGCUUCCUGUUGUGGAUCUAUCAUGUGAAGAAGUGAUGACUGGAACUGCAACAGACAUCUUGCCACCCCUGAAAAAAAAACAGAAACUCAAAAGCCAACAUCUAAGGAAGGUUGAAUAGAAGGAUGAGAAGAGCAUGGGUCUUGAUGAAGUGUUGAUGGACAAACAAACUCUAGGCUGCCCUGUAUCCUGUUCCCAUGAACUAGGGGAAACAUCGUGUUUGGUAUACAGCUUACGUCUUCCACCUUUAAUGAUUCCAUCCUUCAAAAAGCAUGGUGGGGGUGGAGAAUCUAGGGACAAGGCAGUAAGGGAAGUAUGGCCUGGUCCAUAUUCACACCUCUACUGAUGCCCAUGGAGAAGUGGCAGCGUCCUAUUGGGAUGAGGGGUCCAAGAGUCCUAAACAAUGAUGAGCAAAAAGAUGAGUGGUCACCCUCAGGGCUGCUGGAAGUUGUAGGGGAGUCAUGGCUCCAGGAAACACUGCCAAACAUACAACUUGGAAAGAACUUAAGAGGAAAACAUCCUCCUUCCCAGUGGGAGUGACCUUGAAAUAUGAGGGAGGGAGGCUGAUGAUGCAAGUUGUAAGAAAGUAUGAAGUUAUUAGCAUGCAGUGCUCUACCUAUAGAGCACGGUAAGCCAUGCCAGAGAACCUAAGUUUCAGGCAUGAUCACCUGAGGAAGAAACAUGACGUUUGAUCAAAGCCCAUUUUGAUCAAAAGCAUCCUGUGUGAGCUACUUGGUGACUUGCUGGUCUGUGUUAGUUUCUUUUCCUAUUUCGACAUAAAUGUAUGUUCUUAUUCAGGGCUCAUUGGUGGAUCACAGUAGGGUCAUUUAGGUCCAAUUAAACAGUUUGAUCUUUUUUUUCCUCUCUCUUUCUCUUGGGCCCCUGCCAAUAUACUGCCAUUUUAAUUAUGGAAACACUGAGGUCUAAAAAAUUAUAUUAGCCAAUUAUCUUCGUACGCAUGGCAAUAAGUGGCAGAGCUAAGAUACGAACCAAGAUCUAUGUGUCUUCUUUCCUCCUGUAACAUUUUGCCUCUUUGACAAUACAUUUUAACAUAAAAGUUUGUCCAAGGUCAGAGGAGCUCAGAUCCAACUUCCUCUUGUUAACUCUUCUCAACAGGUAACACAAGUCUGCUUAUCUGAGGUUUUAUGGGCAAUUCCUUAACUUACUUCAAUAGCAUGCUUUGUGCAUAAUAGCUGCUCAUCACAUGAUUUGUGGGUAUUACUCAGACUUAAUAGCAGAAGUUUGAGGCACAACAGAAGGACAGAGAUUGGGGGGUUCCUUUAUUAUUUUCCAAAUCAUGCCCUUCCUUCCUUCCGUGCUCCAGUCAUUUCUCGAAUACCUCCUAUGUGCCAUUUACCAUAAAACAGCUCACUGCCAGAGAUGAUAUAAGCUAGUAAUGGUUAAGAGCAUGGCCUCUGGAGCAAGACUGUUUAGGUUUGAAACUUUGCUCUGUCACUUGCUAGUUGUGUGAUCUCCAGCAAGUUUCUUAAUACUUCGUGCCUAGGUUUCACUAUCAGUAAACAUAAAAUAAGUUUAUCAUAGAACCUACCUUAUAAUGUUGUUAUGAGGAAUCACGUAGGCAAUAAAUGUAUUAUUUGUAGACUAGUACCUAGUAAGCAGCCAGUAGAUUUUAAAUGUUAUUACUCUGUCUACCUGUAACUUGGCCUUGAAUAAGAGAGGUCAGCUUCACGUCCCAGUCUCCACCUCGACUGGAAUCCAAAGCAGUGUGUCCAUCUCCCUCCUGCUCCCCUUUAUCAAAACCCACCCUCUCUUUCUGCCCACUCUCUUCUGCAGGAAAUCCCAUUUCCCCCAAUACCCCCUUGCUCUUUGUCCCCAUUCAGCAUCUAUCCCCCGAAUCUACCACCAAGGUUCAUCCGCCCAGAGAAGACUUCACCACCUAGAUCUCAGCCAGUCUUCAUCUUUUUCCUGAACUCCAAAAGCACCUGUUGUCAGAGCCCUGUCCUGCCUGCCUGUGUGCCAACCUGUUCUGUGGCUGCCUUGUCACAUCACACAGACUACCGGGAUUAGUGUCUUUAUAGCAGAAGCUUGAGAGAGCUCCCUCACUUCUUCCUCGGGGUGUGGAAGGCAUCUUCUCCAUUUGAGAAGAAAACUGUAUACCAGAAGGUGGCCCCUCACCAGACACUGACUGCCAGCGCCUUGAUCUCAGAAGUCCAGCCUCCAGAACUAGACAGCACUGCAUGUGCAAGAUGGGAACCCACAUCUCCAGGAUGAGCCUGGAACCAAGAAUCUUUAGUCUACGGAACUCAAAGAAUAGAAAUGUUGCCACCGGAGCCCUUUACGAAGCCAGAAGUCCUUCAAUAAAGAAAAGUCAGCUUCCAGCAGCACAAGUAACUUGAUUACCAUAGAUGGACUGAUUCCAGACUAGCCAAUCAGCUUCCAAGUUUGAAAUUCCCCUAACCGGUUAAAUUUCACCCUGGACUCUGGAUAGGGGAGAGAGAGCUUUGAGCCCUGCUUCCUGUCCCCUUGCCAGUCGACCUUGCAAUCAAGCUUUCUUUUAUCACGAGCCAGUGCCAUGGUAUUUGCUUCAAUGCAUGCUGGGCAGCAAGCCCUUGCUGGGUAACAAGGUUUCCCUCCCACACAGCUGUGUGCAGCUCUGUGACUGAGCUCUGGCUCAUGGUGGAGAAGUUCAAUUUGUGUGUGCAACUGCAGGGAUGUUCCCUCAGAGAAAAAGACAUGCCCUUCUCCUCAUCUUUGCUCCUUUCUACUGUUUGGUUGCCAGAGCCAGAGCAGCCCCCUGGGACCCUCCAAUACGUGGGAUUUUUUUCCCACACCAAGCAACUUUGCAUCGCCAGCUGGGAGUUCUUCAGUUCAACUCAAUGCUGACACUAUUGGCGUGGAGAUGGAGUCAGCUGCCAGGAGUCAAGGCUCAGCCCCACCAGACUUCAUAUGCCAGUUCCAAGUGCAGCUUCUCACCUGUGCUUCUGACCAAGAGGCUGUGAAUCGGAGGUUCCUACAACACCCUCCUCAGUUUCCAUUAACUUGCUAGAGCGGCCCACAGAACUCAGGAAACCAGUUUACUUACUAGAUUAUCGAUUUAUUAUGAAAGAAUAGAACUCAGGAACAACCAGGUGGAAGAGUUGCACAGAACAAGUUAUGUAUGAAGGGGCACGGAUCUUCCAGGCUCUCAGCCACUCUCCCAGCACCUCCAUGGGUUUACCAACCCAGCAGCUUUCUAAACCCCGUCCUCCUGGGCUUUUAGGAAGGCUUCAUUACGUAGGUGUGGCUGAUUAAAUCAUUUGCCAUUGGUGAUUGAAUUCAAUCUCUAGCCCCUUUCCCCUCCCCAAAGGUGUGGAUGGAACUGAAAGCUCCAACCGUUUAAUCAUGUGGUAGGUUCCACUUGCCCCCAGCCCCCAUUUUUUUUUUUGGCUGCAUUGGGUCUUCAUUGCUGCAUGCCGGGUUUCUCUAGUUGCGGCCAGUGGGGGCUACUCUUCGU